CGGCCGCGUCGACCAUCUAUCCUCGAUGAAAGGUGGCCUCUACAUGUAAGCUAUCACUGAAGGAGGGGAUUGCGUCUGAUUAGCUAGUUGGAGGGGUAACGGCCCACCAAGGCGAUGAUCAGUAGCCGGUCUGAGAGGAUGAACGGCCACAUUGGGACUGAGACACGGCCCAGACUCCUACGGGAGGCAGCAGUGGGGAAUCUUCCGCAAUGGACGAAAGUCUGACGGAGCAACGCCGCGUGAGUGAUGACGGCCUUCGGUUGUAAAGCUCUGUUAAUCGGGACGAAAGGCCUUCUUGCGAAUAGUGAGAAGGAUUGACGGUACCGGAAUAGAAAGCCACGGCUAACUACGUGCCAGCAGCCGCGGUAAUACGUAGUGGCAGCGUGUCGAAUAUUGGCGUAAGCGCGCGCAGGCGGAUAGGUCAGUCUGUCUUAAAGUUCGGGCUUAACCCCGUGAUGGGAUGGAACUGCCAAUCUAGAGUAUCGGAGAGGAAAGUGGAAUUCCUAGUGUAGCGUGAAAUGCGUAAG
rnacentral:rRNA from 1 species